GUCCCUGCAGGGCCUGAGUACAGUGAGUACGGCACAUUAAGAAUUACAAAAAAAAAUCCCUUUAAUCUCCAUAAGAAACCUUGCAAGUUACCCGCAACAACCUCCAGAUCUGUCGCUCUCUCUCUCUCUCUCUCUCUCACACAGUCACUUUCUUUACAUUUCAUUGCUCUCUGCUUUACCUUCCUAUCCCCACCCCCUCUUAAUCCAAGCGCCUGUGCUUCAGUCUCCCACCACUCCCAGGUGUGACUAAUAGCUGGAGUUAAGUCCCUUUUUUUUUACCGGCUUGAAAAACACACAGCUCCUUCACAGAGAGCAAAAGGAUAGCAGUCAUCAUCUUCAAUAAGCCAUGGGACCUAGGUGGACUGAGUCACAAGUGACCCUGAUGAAUUCUCACCCGCUUUCCUCUCCCUCCCCUCAUUUAUCCUCCACCUGAUGCUGUCCUCAGACACAUCAGCGCAUGAUGCUCCAACACUGCCAUCUAACGGCAUUAGACAGCUGUGUGAUGUGCACAUACUCAGUUUAUGAGAGGAGGGUGAGGAUGAGGGUGCCCAUCAGUUCUGUUGCGCUGCCUCAGGCUGCAGUAGCCCCUCCUCUCGCUGAGCUGAGGUGUGACGGUCUGCACAGCGACUCACGCGCCCAUUUGCCUGUGAAAAGACUAUCACAGUUUAUGCUGCCAGAAAAAACGGAGAUCUCACUGUGUACCAAAAAGGCAAAGACUUGCUGCAUAUUAGUCGGACAAAAUAGAAAUGCAUGAAACUUGUCAUCGUGAGUAUAUGUGCUAUCAUUGAUUUAUUCCCGUAUCACGUGGUUUGUGCAUUCAUUUACAUUCUAAGGUAUCUGUCUGUAUCCUUCGCAAUGUAUUUCUAUUCUUGGAGCCAUAACAAGAUGUCAGAACGCAUCACCAUCGUGUGCUCGUUACUGUCACGCUCACGCUAAUCUUGGAUCCACUAGUUGAGUCAUGUCAGUUCGAAUGUGCUCAGUAGUCACCCUUUGUUAUCUGUGCAAACAGCUUUGAUGUCCCAUCAUGCCAUGUCAGAAAAGAGCCUCCUAUGUGAUGUAAACACAUGAAUUGUACGCGCUCAUUUGAUGUAUUCCGUAACAUCUGAUCAUCAGUCUUAUUAAUAGUAACAUUAGUCAGGAAGAUAUUGGUUUAAUUCUGAAUAAAAAUAAAGAUCUCUAGUUUUGGAAGAC